ensembl:lncRNA
GUAGGGAAAGUGGUCUGCUAAAACUUGCGAACAAUUUCAGAGAAUCAUUGAGAAAACUUUUCCAUCUGUUUUAGAGUGAAGUUUGAGAGGACUCCAGCAUACUAAGGAUGCAUCUCUAUGAUACAUUCACGCCACUCUGGAAUCUUCCUUCAUUUAUUUGGCAGAGUUACUUUUCCGAAUACUUUGGAAGAAUAAAAACAUAAAGCUCACUGGAGAACCAGAAAAGAGAAGGGGAGAGAGAGAGAGUGAGAGAGAUUUUUAGAGAUCCUGAUGUGCUUUGUAAAUGGAAAUUCAGAAGGGAGCUGACUUUCGAGAUCAACAGAUCAAACAUACAGCUAGGACUUUCAGUCCAUUGAACUAUAAUGCAUAUGAAGACUCGACUACAAAUGUGUUGCUUGAAGAGAGCAACAAGUAUAAAAGCGAUGUUACCCAGGCCGCAAUGUGCACUCUGCGAUAUCAGGUCAUUCUUGAUAGAGUGAGCCAGUUCCUCGUGGUAUAAGUUGGCAGCAUGUCAUAAAAGUCAGUGCCUUGAAGUCAAUGGAUCUUUCCAUCAUAUAUAUGAAUUCUGCCUUAUGCCUAGCAUGUGACACACCCUUGGAAGAAGAGAUCGCAUGAAAAGGUAGAUGUAUACAGUAAUGAAGGUGUUGAUUCAAGUUACUACUGAAGAGUGGUAGAAAAUUGGCCCACCUGUAGGGGAUGAAGAAUCAGGAACAGGAUGAACGAUGUGGUUAUUGGGAGGAUAAGAAAAAUAAUAAAGACAAAGACCAUUUGGAAACACCCACACAUAGACAGUGGACAAAGGAAGAAAGGAGUUUCAUGACUCAGAGAGACACUAGAGCACAGCGAGGUCUUGAUCCAUACUGACAACGAGAACAUUGGAAUUCAUUCUCCUUAAAAAAUAAACAAACAAACAACAACAACAAGGGAGUGGGAAGGAUUUUCAUUCAUGACUGACUGGGAGACUGGGAAAGAAAACAAAAACCAUGAAGAGAUUCAUGGUGGGGAAUCACCUGUAUCUAUCCAGUCUUCACUGAGAAAGCACACAGAAGUUAUUUCACCUGUUGACCUCCAAAAAAAAAAAAAAGGGAAGCAACUGCAGGCAAAGGAAAAGUUUGGAGCCUGGGGAAGUGUAAGAAAGAAAAACAAGUACAAAACAAAGCAUGACAAACUGCAGACUAUGGUUGCAUGUGCUUCCAGGCUCAGUGUGUCUCAUUGGAAAAAAAGAGUACUGCGUAGUGAAUUACAUGGAUGUGGGACUUCAGUCUUUAUUAUUUACACCAACUUAAAUCACACUUGUGGCUUUUUUUCUGCUGAAGGAAAUAUGUAACAAAGUGAAUAAGAUAAGAAUUCCUUAAGAGAAGAAAGACUGCCAUAUCAUUCUGUGACUCCUCAGAAUAUUUCAUUACUAAGUGCCUUUGGUCUGUGAAGUUUGUAAGCACUACAUUUGCAGUGCUAAGGCUUAUCCAGCUAGUCGUGGUUUGCAGCAGCAGGUUUCUCCUCAUUUGCUCUUCCAAAGAACUUCUGAAGAUAUCCUAAUUCAGACUACACACCACUUAAACCGUAGUACAGGACAAAUCACUACAAAUUUGUUCUACUGGGUAGCAAUUUCAACUGAAGCUCAUAGUCAAACACUAUAUACAAAUGCAAUUAUUCAGUACAGUCAAGGGAUGAUGACCUUAUGAUCAAACUACAUACCAACAGAAAUAUGCUGUCUCUGAAUCUUUAGCUAGUGCCACUUCUUUAUAUUGAGAUAAGUUUAUGGUCGCAGAAAAGUUGAUCUUUACGCAAUCCUUUCUCCACUGGUCCAGUGAACCGAACCUACCUUCUGGAGCCUGUAAUUAUGGGUCCUAAUGCUUUUCAUUCUCAGGCAUUCUCCAGUGUCCUCAGAGACUAUCAGGCUCUGGUUCUGCACCAAUGCUUCUCAAAACCUUUAGGACACAUUGAAAUUAUGUCCAAAUCCAAAAGAAAUGACUGAUGUGGCUCAAAGGUUGACAGUGCUAGGGUUACGCAACUGAAUUCUUACAGCUCUUUGGUUUGAUGCCACUAGGAAAAGACAAACAUCCAGAUUUGAUGUCUUUUGAUGCCCAGAGUUGAUGUCUUUUGAUGUCUUUUUAACUGCCACAGUUGGUCAAUCUUAAUUUCAUUGACAGAAGUGCAAAGUGAGACUGUAUUUAAGAGCUGCACUAUAGCUGUUCUGAUUUACACCAGUAUCAGUGAGAUUUAAGGAAUGAUCUUUCACAUUGUUGAGCUACAGGAUGCUUCAUGUUAGCUGUCUAGAUAACGAAAAAUAUCAUGGUUUUCCUGAAUGAAAACAUACCAGUUGAGGAACUUGUCCUUACACCUCGCCACUGCUCAACGUAAGAAAACAAAUCACAUUUGUGGAAUGUUUGUGAUUCACCCCAUAUCAACAAUGUUAACAUGGAGCUACAAAGCACUAGAUUUUGUAGAUGGGUAUUAAAAAAAGCAGGAGGCCUUUGGACAACUUUUUAGUUAAGUGCUUUGCCCAGUGACAGGUGCUUUUGCAAUCACCCCUUCUCCUCACCUUACGGUCUACCACAGUAUGUAUCAGAGAUCUCUGGGAAGGGAAACUAUCACACCUAAUGCAUUUGGACAAGUCUAGCAUGUGUGCAAAUUAAUAAGAAUGGCUUAUUCUAUUCUUUAUUUUGUUUUGCAAGGGUUGCCUUGCAUUUUUGCAACCUGCACAUCUGCUUCCCUGCUCUAACUAAUGAUAAUGGAUCUAGCAGAAUGCAAAGAACACAAUAUUCCCUCAAGUGCAUUUUUUUUUUUUUUUAUGGGGGAAUCUCCUACUGAAAGAUAGAAACCUAAAUCAACUUCUUAAAAUAGAGAAUAGAUUCAUUAUUAAAUUCUCCUCUUCAGACACUGGAGGAAUCCACAAAUGCAACACAGGAAAGGAACUGAGAGUUGGAAAGAGCACUGCAAGUAAUCCUUUGCAAAACUCGUGGUUAAACUGUGAGAAGAAAAUUUCUGAUUUAAGAAUAUGUAUUUUUGCCUCUAGUAUAAAAUAAAAAUAAAAUAAUAAAAAAUAAAAAAUAAAAUAAACAGCAAAUAUUAAACACCUCAUAGUAACAGUUGCCUGGCAUACUGCAUGACAGUUAACUCUGUAAGAAGGGCACAUCUUGACUUCAUUUUGUCUUCUAACUUUGCCUUUCUCUUCUAAAGUAGUCUUUAAACAUUUUUAUCUAAACUAUACAAAGCAAAAAAGGAAAAGCUGUAGUAAUGCACUGCUGAAUAAAAAACAAACAAAAAACCAAACAACAUUCAAAUACUUCUACUAUCCUGUUUCAAUGACCUUUAUGAAUAAAGGAAUGACUGUAUUAAUAAAAGUUCCCAUAGAACAUUUUUUUGCAAGUCUUUACAUGAGAUUGUAUCAGUAACCAGAUUUAUAGACCAGUCUCUGGCUGCAAACACACUGUGCAUCCUUUCUACAUGAAGAACAAAUUCCCUCUCUUUUUACACUAGCACAAAACACUGGCACUCAGCAGCACAGUAGCAGCAAAUGCAGAUGUUGUGUGAUAAUGAACAUAGAUAAAGCAGAAUCUCCACAGAAAAGCAAUAUUACAAGUGCAGCUGGUGAUGCUGCUCAUCAGCUGUCUGUUCAGAAGUAGUGCAGAACUUGUACUUUGAUCCCGGAAGCUGCCAAGACUUUUGCAUGGGGUUCAACGCCGCUCAGUUUUGACACUGAGAACAGAAACAUUAUUUUGAUGUCUUUCCACGUUUUUGGUAAGGACUCUCUACAAAGCCUGAUACAGAACAUACGUGUUAAAUCUUUACACAUCUUGUGCAGGUACUCCUACAAAGCACCUUUUUCCUGCUCUCUAUCCAGUACAGUAACAUCUAAUGUCUUAAAGAUGAAAAAGAAUCCAAAUAAGACAUUAUUUAUUUUUUUCUGUGAUAUCUUCCCUUUGGGAAAAGAGAUUGCUCGUGUUCAGCUCUGUCUAUGAGCUAAUGCUAGACUUCAAACCACCCUCACCUCAAUUGUAGCAUUUAUUAACUUUACAUAUAAGGUUUAUGACUUCUAGAUUAGUAAAUUAUGUAGUAAGGCCUUGUAAUAGAUUUAAUUGUGUUAAUUUUAGUUGAAUUAUAUGGUGUGUUGAUUCUGUGAAGAACUCUGUUGCGCAAACCACGAAGUAAAGAUGCUAUUAAGUUUUUAAGAGCCUAUUCCAAACAUUGCUGUGCUUAUGAAUCAGCAAGUAUUCCUGCACAGCACUGAGUACCAAAAUCUACCCUGCGUGAAGAUGGUGAGUAUGGUCACAUCCAUGCAGACAGAAAAGUUCAUUAUUUCACAAUUGGUGUAUAUUAAUUUAAUAAAAAGGUCACAUUGAAAUUCCCAAGAUUCCAGUUCUCAACUACACAGAUCUUUUGCUAUAACUGGAAUUACUGGAGGAACACUGCAAUUUUCCAUCAGAUGAAACAAUGAGUAUUGACUUUUAAUAAGCUGUUGAAUAUUUCAGCACUUCUGAAAUAUGAACUCAACAGCUUAUAGGAUCAGUGCUCCUGUUUGCAAUUUGCUGUCAGAUACAAAGGGAUUGUUCUAAUAUGUUUGGUAUUACCAUCAGCUAAUCCUUUUCUGAUUUCUGUAUGUCACAAGAAAGUGAAAUAAAACUAUGGGAUGUUGUUUUAUGAGCAAUGCAAUAAUAAAGACCCAAAUAAGGCUUUUCUUAAAACCAACUUAGCCUUCAAAUAGCAGCUUAAGGAAUGCUCUCUGGAAUCUAACCUAUAAUGACUCAAGACCCAGUUUUCCCAGGAAAAGGUUUGAAUCAGUGUAUCAGCAUUAAACCUUUAGGCUAGGAUUCAGAAUGUACUUUCUCUUUUUACUGUAUAUGUAUAGGAUGUUUUUAGCUUAGUGCAUUAAUAGGACAACACAAUAAAGGAGGAUUAUGAUCCUUGUUCCGUAUUUUGCUCAAAAUUUAUAGGAUAUUUGGAAAAGAACAAUUUUGAUUUCCUAAUUCCUACUAAUAAAGGAGAAACAUGAGGUCCAUUUUGGAUUUUAUUUAGCUUAACAAUAAUAAUAAGGAUAAUAUUCAAAAUAAUGGCUUAAAUUUAGGAGCCCAAAAUGUUGUUCAAUUCUCAAAAUAAACUCUGCAUUUUGUGAAGCAUCUCCACAUGCAAUAAAGAAGUCAAUGGCAUGACAAAAACUUAAAACUGAAGUUUUACUGUAAAAGUGAAAAAGAAGCGUUUUUAGCUCACUUUGUUAACA